AAGUCGUAACAAGGUUUCCGUAGGUGAACCUGCGGAAGGAUCAUUAAUGUGUUGGUGCCGCUUGGAGUAGAAGGCAACCCCUUCUGAGAAGAGCGAGCAACCUUACGCUGUGUUGUGUGAAUGUGAGUGCGGAUGCAAGUCCGCAACUUUUUCCAAUCCUUUUUUUUUCAUGUUCUGAUUCUUGAGACCCUUUGUGGUCUACAAUACCGAAAACUGCCAGCAAUGGAUCACUCGGUUCUC
rnacentral:misc_RNA from 1 species